GGGCUAUUAGCUCAGGUGACUAGAGCGCACCCCUGGUAAGGGUGAGGUCCCUGGCUUGAGUCCAGGAUGGCCCA
rnacentral:tRNA from 1 species